GACGAACGCUGGCGGCGUGCUUAACACAUGCAAGUCGAACGGAAAGGCCCUGCUUUUGUGGGGUGCUCGAGUGGCGAACGGGUGAGUAACACGUGAGUAACCUGCCCUUGACUUUGGGAUAACUUCAGGAAACUGGGGCUAAUACUGGAUAGGAGCUCCUGCUGCAUGGCGGGGGUUGGAAAGUUUCGGCGGUUGGGGAUGGACUCGCGGCUUAUCAGCUUGUUGGUGGGGUAGUGGCUUACCAAGGCUUUGACGGGUAGCCGGCCUGAGAGGGUGACCGGCCACAUUGGGACUGAGAUACGGCCCAGACUCCUACGGGAGGCAGCAGUGGGGAAUAUUGCACAAUGGGCGGAAGCCUGAUGCAGCAACGCCGCGUGCGGGAUGACGGCCUUCGGGUUGUAAACCGCUUUCGCCUGUGACGAAGCGUGAGUGACGGUAAUGGGUAAAGAAGCACCGGCUAACUACGUG
rnacentral:rRNA from 1 species